rnacentral:misc_RNA from 1 species
UGACAAACUCUACACUACUGAUUUUGGACGGACAUUUUAUUAAUGUUUCUGCUUCUCUCUGCCGUUAGUGACUUCACAGACCGAGUCUUGCGACAGUGUUAAUUCCUGUUGUAUUUAUUGGUUGUCCUGGCUCUACAUUACAUUGUUUGAAGACUUGGAACCCCUCUGUGAUACUCUCUAAUUCAGUGGACUGUUAUUUAAAGAAAGCAUGUAAGGAAAGUCAAUUGGUGAAGCUGCAAUAAGAGGAAUAUGAUUAUAUAAUAAAAUUUUUAAAAAAU